rnacentral:tRNA from 2 species
GCGGGUGUGGCGAAAUUGGCAGACGCGCUAGACUUAGGAUCUAGUUCCUUUGGAGUGCAGGUUCAAGUCCUGUCACCCGCACCA